rnacentral:rRNA from 1 species
CACUAUGCCUAGCCCUAAACAUUGACAGUUAGUUACACCCACUGUCCGCCUGGGAACUACGAGCACCAGCUUAAAACCCAAAGGACUUGGCGGUGCUUUAGACCCACCUAGAGGAGCCUGUUCUAGAACCGAUAAUCCCCGUUAAACCUCACCCUUCCUUGCCAUUUCCGCCUAUAUACCACCGUCGUCAGCUUACCCUGUGAAGGCCCCAUAGUAAGCACAAUCGGCAAUGCCCAAAACGUCAGGUCGAGGUGUAGCGAAUGGAAGGGGAAGAAAUGGGCUACAUUUACUGACUCAGUAAAUACGGAUGAUUACCCUGCAACGAGUAUCUGAAGGAGGAUUUAGCAGUAAGCAAAAAAUAGAGUGUUUUGCUGAAGUUGGCCCUGAAGCGUGCACACACCGCCCGUCACUCUCUCCGAACUAAGAUUUUAAAAAUAACUAAUACACUAUAACUGUAAAGGAGAGGCAAGUCGUAA